GACGAACGCUGGCGGCGUGCCUAAUACAUGCAAGUUGAGCGCUGAAGGUUGGUACUUGUUCCAACUGGAUGAGCAGCGAACGGGUGAGUAACGCGUGGGGAAUCUGCCUUUGAGCGGGGGACAACAUUUGGAAACGAAUGCUAAUACCGCAUAAAAACUUUAAACACAAGUUUUAAGUUUGAAAGAUGCAAUUGCAUCACUCAAAGAUGAUCCCGCGUUGUAUUAGCUAGUUGGUGAGGUAAAGGCUCACCAAGGCGAUGAUACAUAGCCGACCUGAGAGGGUGAUCGGCCACAUUGGGACUGAGACACGGCCCAAACGCCUACGGGAGGCAGCAGUAGGGAAUCUUCGGCAAUGGACGAAAGUCUGACCGAGCAACGCCGCGUGAGUGAAGAAGGGUUUCGGAUCGUAAAACUCUGUUGGUAGAGAAGAACGUUGGUGAGAGUGGAAAGCUCAUCAAGUGACGGUAACUAACCAGAAAGGGACGGCUAACUACGUG
rnacentral:rRNA from 1 species